UACGGGGGGGGCAAGCGUUGUUCGGAAUUACUGGGCGUAAAGGGCUCGUAGGCGGCCAACUAAGUCAGACGUGAAAUCCCUCGGCUUAACCGGGGAACUGCGUCUGAUACUGGAUGGCUUGAGUCCGGGAGAGGGAUGCGGAAUUCCAGGUGUAGCGGUGAAAUGCGUAGAUAUCUGGAGGAACACCGGUGGCGAAGGCGGUUCUCUGGGCCUUACCUGACGCUGAGGAGCGAAAGCGUGGGGAGCGAACAGG
rnacentral:rRNA from 1 species